rnacentral:rRNA from 1 species
AACGAACGCUGGCGGUAUGCCUAACACAUGCAAGUCGAACGAGACCUUCGGGUCUAGUGGCGCACGGGUGCGUAACGCGUGGGAACCUGCCCUUAGGUUCGGAAUAACUCCCCGAAAGGGGUGCUAAUACCGGAUAAUGUCUUCGGACCAAAGAUUUAUCGCCUUUGGAUGGGCCCGCGUUGGAUUAGCUAGUUGGUAGGGUAAAAGCCUACCAAGGCGACGAUCCAUAGCUGGUCUGAGAGGAUGAUCAGCCACACUGGGACUGAGACACGGCCCAGACUCCUACGGGAGGCAGCAGUGGGGAAUAUUGGACAAUGGGCGAAAGCCUGAUCCAGCAAUGCCGCGUGAGUGAUGAAGGCCUUAGGGUUGUAAAGCUCUUUUACCCGGGAUGAAAAUGACAGUACCGGGAGAAUAAGCUCCGGCUAACUCCGUG